CUGGGUCUGCAGUGUGAAACCUAAAGCAUGGCACUAGAAGAAAGGCACUAGGAGAGAUUCAGUUUUCACAAGAUAGCAACUGGACACAUGGGUGGCAAGGCCUUACCUUUCUCUGGAGGGUGAUGGAAGAGCUGUUGAAGCCAGUCCUCCAGCAACUCAUUCCAUGCCACACACUGCAACCUUGGAGGGCUCUAUAUCCAGGAGAAUAUGAGGAAGCAACCACCUCUUUCUCCAAAGACAGAUGAGCAAGUCCAACUGUUUACUCAUUCAUGUGGGCUGACAAGUGGGCCUAUGGAGCCCUGUCUUCAAAAGGCACCUUCAGGAAGGUGUAGUGCUGAGCACAAAUGAUACCUACAUAAACAAGACUACCCUUGUGGUAAGGGUGUUCUCCAGCUGUAAUAUAUUGCCGCUUGCUUCAACAAUCUUUUCUAAACCAGGGAACAAGUUUUGAUGAUUAAAUUUUUAUUCCUCUAAUUUUGACCCAGCUGUAAAAAAACAUAAUAAACUGUUCUUCCUUAAUGACUGCUGGGAUUGCCUAAUAAAUCUAAUGGUUAAAUGAAGAGUUUUCCCUGGAUCAUCCUUACAACUCUUUCCUGAAGCAAAUCACAGACCGUUUUAAUUGGAGAUGG